rnacentral:ncRNA from 1 species
GGGAGCCGGAUGCAACGAAAGUCGCACGUCCGGUUCUAAAUGAGAGGGGCGGGGAAUAAUAUCCCCCCCUCGACUCAAC